CAUCAGCGUCACCAUCUGACGAUUCCCCCGUUGGCUCGUCAGGGGCGCGCUCAGAUUUCCCGAGUUACAUACAUAAGAAGCUCCUC
rnacentral:snoRNA from 1 species